UCCGGUGUGGUCUAACGGCUAGGAUUUCUCGCUUUCACUGUUUGCAAUGCGAAUAGAGCACCCGAGGAGGUCGGGGUUCGAUUCCCCGCACCGGAA
rnacentral:tRNA from 1 species